AGGACGAACGCUGGCGGCAUGCCUUACACAUGCAAGUCGAACGGUAGCAGGGAGCUUGCUCCGCUGACGAGUGGCGAACGGGUGAGUAAUAUAUCGGAACGUACCUUUGAGUGGGGGAUAACUAGUCGAAAGAUUAGCUAAUACCGCAUACGAUCUACGGAUGAAAGCGGGGGAUCGCAAGACCUCGUGCUCAUAGAGCGGCCGAUAUCUGAUUAGCUAGUUGGUGAGGUAAAGGCUCACCAAGGCUUCGAUCAGUAGC
rnacentral:rRNA from 1 species